rnacentral:lncRNA from 1 species
CCGAAUUGAGAAAACGAAAAAAAAGGGACUAAAUUGAGAUUUCAGACAAAAAUAGGAACUGGAGGAAUGAUUAAACCUAAAUAUUUUAGUUGUUUGAAAAGUGUCUCUUGUCUUCCAUAUAUAAAUGAGUCUUUCUCUCUAAAUGAGUCUUUCUCUCUGCACUUUACGAUCUCACUCUGCAACUCCCUAUUUUUCUAUUAUUCUAAUUUUGUCCCUGC